rnacentral:rRNA from 1 species
UACGUAGGGCGCAAGCGUUGUCCGGAAUCAUUGGGCGUAAAGAGCUCGUAGGCGGCCUGUUGCGUCGGAUGUGAAAACCCGGGGCUCAACUCCGGGCUUGCAUUCGAUACGGGCAGGCUAGAGUUCGGUAGGGGAGUCUGGAAUUCCUGGUGUAGCGGUGAAAUGCGCAGAUAUCAGGAGGAACACCGGUGGCGAAGGCGGGACUCUGGGCCGAUACUGACGCUGAGGAGCGAAAGCGUGGGGAGCGAACAGG